rnacentral:rRNA from 1 species
UACGUAGGUGGCGAGCGUUGUCCGGAUUUACUGGGCGUAAAGAGCGCGUAGGCGGCCGAUCAAGUCGGGGGUGAAAGCCUGUGGCUCAACCACAGAAUUGCCUUCGAUACUGUUUGGCUUGAGACCGGAAGAGGUUAGUGGAACUGCGAGUGUAGAGGUGAAAUUCGUAGAUAUUCGCAAGAACACCAGUGGCGAAGGCGGCUGACUGGUCCGGUUCUGACGCUGAGGCGCGAAAGCGUGGGGAGCAAACAGG